CUACAUGGAGCUAGAGAUUGUUGAAACUUAUUCAGUAAAUAGUUUUAAGGCUUUAGCAGCUAAAGUUUAGCUAGUAAGUUCAAUAAGAAUUGUGGCACAUAACAUGAAUCAAUUGUGAUAAACAUCUUCCUUUCAUUGAGCAAUGAGCAAUUUUUUUUUUUCCAACAAUGGCAUACAGCUUUGAAUUUAUUACGUCAAGAGGAAAUCAGGAACCCAAGGCAGCUAACGGCCGUAGAACCUCAUCGAGUGAGCGUCAAUCUGGUUGAAUCCGAACCAUCAACAAGCCAAAGUCGCCGUGCUACAGAUGAUCAUGACAAACUAGAGCCUAAGGAGACUGAAGUAAAGUGAAAAGUAUGUUUGAUUUGCUUAUCGGAGUUCAAAAACAUAAAGCCAAAAGUACUUUUGCUUUGGUUGUGGAACUUCGUUUUUUAUUUUGUCUGGACUUUUUCUAUAAGCAGAUUUUCUAG
rnacentral:lncRNA from 1 species